ACUUAACUGACCAGAUAGCAUAUGUUAGCAGAAUGCUAAUGUUUUCUGGACAAAAUGUACCUUUUUACUGUACUGUUAAAACUUUUCAUAUUUGUUCAUUGUUUUUUCUGACCUAAAGCCAAUAAUACUGCAUUUUUGACAAGUAAAAUCUAAUUUUACUUUUUUUGUUUAAACUAGGGGUGUAUUUUCUUUAGCUCACAAGUGACUGCUUGGCACAGAGUUAAUAUGUCCUAGAACAGCGGUCCCCAACCUUUUUCGCGCCAAGGACCGAUUUAUGUCCGACAGAAUUUUCACGGACCGGCCUUUAAGGUGUCACGGAUAAAUACAACAAAAUAAAACCAGUACCAGUACCAAAAAAAAGAAGAUUUAUUCCUAAUACAUGGGAAAAGACCCAGGGAAACCGAGUUAACAAUAAAAACAAUUUUAAAAAAAUAAUGAUAAAAACCGAUAAAAAACCUGAAAACCAUAAAUUUCACACCCGAGCCUCAACACUUACAGCCCUGUACCAAACGACUCACAGACCGGCCUGGAGUUUGAGGACCGCUGUCCUAGAAUAAAAUCCCCCAAAAAUGUUUAUUAACAAUCCAAUAAAUAUCUUUUAACUCACAGUAUUUAUGAUAAAUACCAAUCAGAUUUCAAAACCAAUCAGAACACAAUCAGAACGCUCUUAUAACCUGAACAGAAAAGGCAACUUACAGAAACUUUCAGUCUUAAGGCCUUUGCAAACUGGUGAAUAUUUUUCUGACUCACCUGUUCUUAAUGCAACUGUUCACACCAACUGUGUAAUUUUACUGAACAAAUUUGCGGCAUUUAUUUUUUUCUAACCUAGCUCGAUAUUUCUGAUUUGUGACGCAAACAAACAGAUCUGGCCAAUCAAAUCACUGCAUCUGGCAAGGUGCAAGCUGUUUUACCUCAGACACACAGUGAGAUGCUCUGUAAUAACCGCUCUCUGAAAUGAUCUCUCUGCCUCCUCAGAUCUGUUCCCAGCUAUGCCAACAAGACCUCAAACUGCCC
ensembl:lncRNA